rnacentral:sRNA from 1 species
UCAGUCUAUGCGCCGUCUCGUCGGAUUC